GUCAGUAACAAGAAUUGGCGACUCUGUGGAGUUAGAACACGCUCUGUGUUAUGGUGAUACGUGUCUGGGUCAACCCAUGGAUUUCAAUGGAACUGCUGCAGAUUCAUGCCAGGAGCCACUCCUCGUUGAGGGUGUAUCUGGCCUUCCCUGUGAUGGCAUCAAUGGAGCCUUUGUUAAUCUGCUGCUUGAUGGCACAGAUCAGCAGGAAGAAUGGCUCUCCGACUGUCUCCUGGGGAAAGGGAGAGAAGUCCAUGUCAGCAACGGACCUGGCGGCCCGUCCAGGGCAGGCUCUAUACAGAAACAGACUUGGGGUGCCAGCUUCCUAUUAAAGGUGCUGUCUGAAGUCCUCUUUGUGCUGCCUGGUUUGCCAUUGAGAUCUAUGGGAGUGAGGCCUCUGUGUGCCCUGUGGCUCUGGGAAGCAGCACUUGUACUUCUCAUACCACAGCAGAGCCCUGAUUGCAGCAAAAGAGAAAGAUCAGAGUCAACCAUGCUGUUCCCAUGCGACAACGAGUAAACAUGGCAGCUAACUCGUUAUAUUUGUCAACCUUCAUCUUAUGGGAGAGCUGUGAACUGUGACAGCGCUGCAACAGGAACAAGGAGCCUAACAGGGACCAGCGAUUUGUGACGCGGUUCAGUGACAUGGUGUAAUGCCAGAUUUCUGAUCCACUUAUGUCUGUUAUGCCGAUGUGCAAAUACAACACAAGUUAUUUUCUUGAAAAACAUUUCAGUACUGGAGUACAUCCCAUUCUCCCUAAUGUUCAUGUGCAAUUUCCUUCAGAUGAGGCAAAUGCAAAUUACUGCACAUUCCUGUACUUCCCGACCAUCACACCCCUGUGCAGCCAUCGCUGCCAUCUGAAAUCCUGCUCGAGACAACAGAUAUCGGAUGGUUUUGGUAUUUCUCAGCUAGGAGCUGCUAAAUCCUGUUCAAUCUGCUUCUUAAUUAAGACUUGGUGGUUCUUUUAUUCUAAUUGCCUUAUAAUUGCUGAAGCAAUUAGCUCGAUGUCAAUUUUGAUUCAGCUGCCUUCAGCGUUGGGGCUGCAGCAGGGCUGUGGGUGGGCACGCGCCAUCUGUGCCAGGGUGCUCAUGCUUUGUUUUCCCAGGGCAGGCUGGUAAGAACAUCGGGCAAGUGCAGGGGCCUCGCACCGGGAUGGAAGGACUUCCUGCAACGCUCCCUCUGUGUUGGGCUCUGCAGUGCUGGACAAAGGCACAGAAACAUGUGAAGCUGUGGGGCAGAGGAGCUGAGGACCAUGAAUGAAAUGCAGAAGACCCAGGAACUGUAGGACGCUAUGGAGAUCUGCAAAAGCACUGAUCAGACUGCAAGUUUCAAAGAGGGGAAAGAAGUGCUGGCAGGCAGCGGCUGCAGAUAAAAGGGCAGGCCUGGAAACCUCGAGCAUUGUUCAGAAAAUGCAUCUGGAAACAAACCAGCAGUGUCUCCGGAGCUGCUACUUGGGAGAAAGGAAGUCUAACCAGAAGAGAUCAGUGCUGAUUCAGGACAAAAAUUAUUUUAAAAAACCACACUCUGGGGCCUUUUUUUUCCUCCUAUUGUGAAUGCAUUUCACUGAGACUUCAUUUUCAUUUUUGACUGAACCAUCACAGGCUCUUAAAGCUGUGCGGGGCACUGCAAUAAGCUCGCAGUAAUGGAGUGCACAGCUCGGGCUGGCACUGCUUGGGCUGCUUCAUGCUGGGGGAGCGUGGGAGGCGAAGGUUUUAUGCUCUUGGGAAAAAGGUUCAGAGCGCAGACUGGCUUUGGUGUGGCUGCUCCAUUACCAAGGCCAACAAGACAUCGGAGAUGUCCUCUGGGAACACUCUACAGUCAUUUCAAAUGAGCCUUGGUGAGGUUGGAGUAAGGAAAGUGCAGAAAGCAGCUGCUUCUCGCAGGUGCCAGCUAAUUUGGGGGUGA